rnacentral:rRNA from 1 species
UGGGGAAUCUUGCACAAUGGGCGAAAGCCUGAUGCAGCAACGCCGCGUGCGGGAAGACAGCCCUAGGGUUGUAAACCGCUUUCAGCAGGGAAGAAACUGACGGUACCUGCAGAAGAAGAUGCGGCCAACUACGUGCCAGCAGCCGCGGUGACACGUAGGCAUCAAGCGUUAUCCGGAUUUAUUGGGCGUAAAGAGCUCGUAGGCGGUUCGGUAAGUCGGGUGUGAAAACUCUGGGCUCAACCCAGAGAGGCCACUCGAUACUGCUGUGACUAGAGUGCGGUAGGGGAGCGGGGAAUUCCUGGUGUAGCGGUGAAAUGCGCAGAUAUCAGGAGGAACACCAGUGGCGAAGGCGCCGCUCUGGGCCUGUAACUGACGCUGAGGAGCGAAAGCAUGGGUAGCAAACAGGAUUAGAUACCCUGGUAGUCCAUGCCGUAAACGUUGGGCACUAGGUGUGGGUCUCAACCAACGAGAUCCGCGCCGUCGCUAACGCAUUAAGUGCCCGCCUGGGAGUACGGUCGCAAGAUUAAAACU